rnacentral:tRNA from 4 species
GCCCCUUUAACUCAGCGGUAGAGUAAGCCCAUAGUAAGGCGCAAGUCGUUGGUUCAAAUCCGAUAGGGGACU